CUCACACACCUCGGCACCUUGUACUGAUUGAUCGAUGCGCCUCUGGAGAUGGCAUAGUCCAUGAGCUCCUCGAACGUUCCAUUCUUCACAACACGUAUCUCGAGUGGUCCUAUCGACUUAUCCGCAACCCGACUUUGUCUAUACACAGAGUUCAACGACUCCUCCAUUUCCAAGCAGCACCGAGCCAUGACUUCGUCAUUUGGAGGAUUGGUUUGAUCCUUCACUAGAAGCUCCCAGUAAAUGACAUAAUGGCCAGGUAUAGUCUUCGUCUCUGCAUAGCUCGUGUACUCGAUAACACGAGUUCCUUGCUCUCCAAGUAAGAGCGAUGCGUUCUCAACCGCGCUUUGGAGCUCAGCUUCAUCGGUUUUAUCCGACUCAAUGCUAAGCAAAACGUUCUUCCUCCGCACAAACUUGAACUGUGGAGCGGAAUUGUAGAAUCCAGUCACCUGAAGAAUAUCACCAACUCUAUAACGGUUAAGCCCAGCAUAGGUUGUGAUCACAAGCUCGUACUCUUUCCCGACCUCGACAUCAGCUAGCUCCACAAGUUCGGAUUUUUCGGUUGG
rnacentral:sRNA from 1 species